rnacentral:misc_RNA from 1 species
AAUCUCCUUCCUGGUAAGGAUGUCCAUUUUGAAACGGCUUGUUCCUUUUCCUGAAUGGUCUACUCAAAGCAGGUUCAAGAGCCCCUGUCUCUGCAGACUGUGAACGUGUUUCCCUUCUACGAUGCUUAUGAUUACGAUCAUCGUCAUCACUAAUUUCUUUCUCCUCGGGAUCACUGUCGCAAUCAGAAGUUGAAAAUACCGGCUUUGGAGUUGAAGAUUUAAGCUCCAUGAGUCAACAAUCUUGCUUAUGCAGAAAAUUUUACCUCAGCUACGUGAGAUUCAAACUAGUUCAGUUGCCAACAUCACCUAUUAAGUUGCUACUGCCUCGAUAAAUUGGCCUCUUAGGUUUCGAUUCACCGGUCGGAAUACCUACAACAUCGCCGGAGAAAUGACCAAAGGAAGUUAAUA